AGAAAGUUAGUCUAAUCAAGACAAUUGAUUUCGGCUCAAUAGAUUAUAGAUAAACCCUAUAACUUUCUU
rnacentral:tRNA from 1 species